UUCCAUCUGUGUUGUCCCAAAUGAUGAGAUUUCUUUCUUUUUUACAGGUAAAUAAAAUUACUCUGUAUACAGAGAGUUUGCACCAUAUUUUCUUCACUCGAUUCAUUGAUCAAUGGACAUUUAGGGUGUUUAUGUAUUUUGGCUAUUAUAAAUAAUGCUUCAAUGAACAUGGAGCCUACAGCUGAAAAACUAAGGGGAAGCACUUCAGCAUGGAGUUGGGUUUCCACCUACCAUCUUGGUUUCCUCUGGAGUGAAUAGUUGCUUACAGCUCCAGGCUGUAUCCAUCACUGGGAAUCACCCUCAAGCUGCAGGCAACUGGCUCCCCCAAGGAUACACCACGGCCAGGAUAUUCUCAGCUGCUAAUAAUUGACUGAUGCCAAGAUACAAAGGUCAGCCCCAAUUACUUCAAUUAAGCCCAUUAAUAAAAGAGCUGCCCAGCUGCAAAGGCUUUCCGUAGACUCGACCAAGUCCUCGGUGCAGAUGCAUCACAGAUGAGAAAAUUGAAGGACACAGUUCAAGGAACUUGACCAAGGUCAUUUAGACUUGUUAUCCUUGGGCCUCCAGAGGUGCCUGAACAUAAUCAAGAAUUAGCAAGAUCAUUAU